UACGGAGGGUGCAAGCGUUAUCCGGAUUCACUGGGUUUAAAGGGUGUGUAGGCGGGCUAUUAAGUCAGUGGUGAAAUCUCCGGGCUCAACCCGGAAACUGCCAUUGAUACUAUUAGUCUUGAAUAUCGUUGAGGUUGGCGGAAUAUAUCAUGUAGCGGUGAAAUGCAUAGAUAUGAUAUAGAACACCGAUUGCGAAGGCAGCUAACUAAGCGAUGAUUGACGCUGAGGCACGAAAGCGUGGGGAUCAAACAGG
rnacentral:rRNA from 1 species